rnacentral:rRNA from 1 species
UUGACCUCAAAUCAGGUAGGACUACCCGCUGAACUUAAGCAUAUCAAUAAGCGGAGGAAAAGAAACUAACAAGGAUUCCCNNAGUAACGGCGAGUGAMGC